AUGCAGGGGAUGAGAAAAAAACUGCAACAAGAUGAUCGGAAACUUCCGUGAUUACCUUCAUAUUUAAGUCUCUGAUGCGU